UACGUAGGGGGCAAGCGUUGUCCGGAUUUAUUGGGCGUAAAGCGCGUGUAGGCGGCCAGGUAGGUCGGUUGUGAAAAUUGGAGGCUCAACCUCCAGACGUCGAUCGAAACCAUCUGGCUAGAGUCCGGAAGAGGAGAAUGGAAUUCCUAGUGUAGAGGUGAAAUUCGUAGAUAUUCGGAAGAACACCAGUGGCGAAGGCGGACUCACUGGCCGGUACUGACGCUGAUGUGCGAAAGCGUGGG
rnacentral:rRNA from 1 species